rnacentral:misc_RNA from 1 species
GAUGAAGAACGUAGUGAAAUGCGAUACUUGGUGUGAAUUGCAGAAUCCCGUGAACCAUCGAGUUUUUGAACGCAAGUUGCGCCCGAAGCCGUUAGGCUGAGGGCACGCCUGCCUGGGUGUCACACAUCGUUGCCCCAAUGCCAAUCGCCUCACUUUGUAGGUAUUUGCUUGGGGUGAAUGUUGGCCUCCCGUGAGCUUUGUCUCACGGUUGGUUGAAAAUCGAGUGCAUGGUGUUGGGUGUACCAUGAUGGAUGGUGGUUGAGUGAUGAUGCUCGAGACCAAUCAUGGGUAACUCCACCAGAAUUGGGCUCGGUGACCCACAUGCGUCCCUUGGAUGCUCCCUAAGGAGACCUCAGGUCAGGAGGGGCUACCCGCUGAGUUUAAGCAUAUCAAUAAGCGGAGGA